GUCCCGGUGGUCUAGGGGUAUGAUUCUCGCUUUUGGUGCGAGAGGUCCUGGGUUCAAAUCUCAGCCGAGCCA
rnacentral:tRNA from 1 species